AUGCUCAUUUUGGCAGCACAUAUACUAAAACUGAAACGAGACAUAAAAUAUUAGCAUGACCCCUGUUUAAGGAGAACAUACAAAGUCAUGUAGCACUUUACAUAUCU
rnacentral:snRNA from 1 species